rnacentral:rRNA from 1 species
CGUAGGGUGCGAGCGUUAAUCGGAAUUACUGGGCGUAAAGCGUGCGCAGGCGGUUUUGUAAGACAGAUGUGAAAUCCCCGGGCUCAACCUGGGACCUGCAUUUGUGACUGCAAGGCUAGAGUACGGUAGAGGGGGAUGGAAUUCCGCGUGUAGCAGUGAAAUGCGUAGAUAUGCGGAGGAACACCGAUGGCGAAGGCAAUCCCCUGGGCCUGUACUGACGCUCAUGCACGAAAGCGUGGGGAGCAAACAGGAUUAGAUACCCUGGUAGUCCACGCCCUAAACGAUGUCAACUGGUUGUUGGGUCUUCACUGACUCAGUAACGAAGCUAACGCGUGAAGUUGACCGCCUGGGGAGUACGGCCGCAAGGUUG